rnacentral:lncRNA from 1 species
AUGCACCGGGAGCCCGACGUGGGAUUUGAUCCCAGGUCUCCAGGAUCGCACCCUGGGCCAAAGACAGGCGCCAAACCGCUGCGCCACCCAGGGAUCCCCCUGAAUACAGGUCUUGGUUUGCAUUUUGCACAAUGUUUCUGGGAUUUCAUUUACCCAGCUCAUAACCCUCUCUGUGACAAGUUGCUAAACUAUGCUAUCCUGCAAGAGUGGCCUAAUCAACAACCUCCAAUAAUAGAUGAUGAUGAUAGAUGAUAGAUUAGAUAGAUAGAUAGAUAGAUAGAUAGAUAGAUAGAUGAAAAAUAGAUGAUAGCCUUUAUUGCAGAAUUUUUGUAAUAGGAAAAUAUUGAAAAAAUUGGUUGAAUAAAAUAUAAAACAUGCUUAAAUGUUGAAUGUUA